AUCCUAAGGACCGGGGCUUGUCUGUAGCUCUAGGGUUCUCCAAGUGCAUGCCAGAUAAAAGGUCGGUCUUUGACUGUUCUGGCCUCUUAUGCCAUCAGCAGCCACUCAACUGUCCAACAGAUCCUCACGUCAAUAUGUAGAAAUGCUUACUGCGCAACAACAGUUAUGUUAUUUUAAUGCUGUUCUCUUCCUGCAGGCAUCAAUCUGCCCAUGAGAUCUAAUCCGAUGUCUUUGGGAUCCAGAGGCUCCAUGUUCCUGCUGUGCGGUGCAGUGCGUUGAAGGCAGCAGGAAGAUGGUGAAGGAGGACGGGAGGAUGUAGCGACUGGACAAAGUGCUAUAGAAGUACCUUCAGUUCUCUGUAAAAAAAAAUCUUACAAACUGAUCAGCUGAACGUUUUUUCUCCAGAACAAUUGUUGAAAUAAACAUCUUACAAGGAA